ensembl:snRNA U6 U6 spliceosomal RNA
GUGCUCGCUUCGGCAGCACAUAUACUAAAAUUAGAAUGAUACAGAGAUGAUUACCAUGGCCCCCUGCGCAAGGAUGACAUGCAAAUUCGUGAAGCGUUCCAUAUUUAA